rnacentral:rRNA from 1 species
GACAAACGCUGGCGGCAUGCCUAACACAUGCAAGUCGAACGGACAGAACAGGGAAGCUUUUCGGAGUGGAACUGGAAGGUUAGUGGCGGAUGGGGGAGUAACGCGCGGACAACCUACCUUGUAAAGGGGAAGAACCUCGAGAAAUCUAAGCUAAUACCCCAUAAUAACCUUGCUUCGCAUGAAGUAAGGAGGAAAGGCGGCCUUAGCGCUGACGAUACAAGAUGGGUCCGCGUCUGAUUAGCUAGUUGGUGAGGUAAAGGCUCACCAAGGCGACGAUCAGUAGCCGGCCUGAGAGGAUGAACGGCCACAUUGGGACUGAGACACGGCCCAAACUCCUACGGGAGGCAGCAGUGGGGAAUCUUCCGCAAUGGGCGAAAGCCUGACGGAGCAACGCCGCGUGAGUGAAGAAGGCCUUCGGGUUGUAAAGCUCUGUCCUUAUCGAAGAGAGAGUGUUGUAGUAAUUGACAAUACUAGGACCGUUGACGAGGAGGAAGCCCCCGCUAACUAUGUGC